UACAGAGGGUGCGAGCGUUAAUCGGAAUUACUGGGCGUAAAGCGUGCGUAGAUGGUUAUGUAAGUCGGAUGUGAAAGCCCCGGGCUCAACCUGGGAAUUGCAUUCGAGACUGCAUAGCUAGGAUGCGGAAGAGGGAAGCGGAAUUUCCGGUGUAGCGGUGAAAUGCGUAGAUAUCGGAAGGAACACCAGUGGCGAAAGCGGCUUCCUGGUCCAGCAUCGACGUUCAGGCACGAAAGCGUGGGGAGCAAACGGG
rnacentral:rRNA from 1 species